GAGGGUAUAGCUCAGUGGUUAGAAUACACGCUCAGCAUGCAAGAGGUCCUGGGUUCAACCCCCAGUACCCGCA
rnacentral:tRNA from 1 species